rnacentral:rRNA from 1 species
CCUACGGGUGGCAGCAGUGAGGAAUAUUGGUCAAUGGACGCAAGUCUGAACCAGCCAUGCCGCGUGCAGGAAGACGGCUCUAUGAGUUGUAAACUGCUUUUGUACGAGGGUAAACGCAGAUACGCGUAUCUGUCUGAAAGUAUCGUACGAAUAAGGAUCGGCUAACUCCGUGCCAGCAGCCGCGGUAAUACGGAGGAUUCAAUCGUUAGCCGGAUUUAUUGGGUUUAAAGGGUGCGUAGGCGGUCGGAUAAGUUAGAGGUGAAAUCCCGAGGCUCAACUUCGGAAUUGCCUCUGAUACUGUUAGGCUAGAGAGUAGUUGCGGUAGGCAGAAUGUAUGGUGUAGCGGUGAAAUGCUUAGAGAUCAUACAGAAUACCGAUUGCGAAGGCAGCUUACCAAGCUACUUCUGACGUUGAGGCACGAAAGCGUGGGGAGCAAACAGGAUUAGAUACCCCUGUAGUC